UGCGUACUUUGCAGUUUCCUUUUCAAAAUCUAAUCGUGUACUGUACUGACUUUCUCCUCAGGUUAAGCUGGCCAGAAGUAACAUCAUACUGAACCUAAGGAGAAAUAACUUAAAAUGCCAGAACAGGUGACAGCUGACGUACGUGAAUGCCAAUGUAGAGGAAGUGACCGACACCUUGAGCAAGAUGUAACACCCAGCAUGUUACUUAAGCCUUCUUAGGUGUACAAGAUAGAUGGACCAGACACCACAAGGUGACCACAACUGUCUAGCAUCCCACACCUUGAGGACUACCACCUUACUAAGAAAGAACAGAAUUGGUGUUCUGUACACUACUGUAAGAAUAGUGUACUGUAA